GGACGAACGCUGGCGGCACGCUAACACAUGCAAGUCGAACGGAGAAAAUAGCUUCGGUUGUUUUCUUAGUGCGGACGGGUGAGUAACACGUGAGGAACCUGCCUUUGAGAGUGGGAUAGCUUCUGGAAACGGAUGGUAAUACCGCAUAACAUAGCGAAACCGCAUGAUUUUGCUAUCAAAGUAUUUCGCUCAGAGAUGGCCUCGCGUCUGAUUAGAUAGUUGGUGAGGUAACGGCUCACCAAGUCGACGAUCAGUAGCCGGACUGAGAGGUUGAACGGCCACAUUGGGACUGAGACACGGCCCAGACUCCUACGGGAGGCAGCAGUGGGGAUAUUGCACAAUGGGGGAAACCCUGAUGCAGCGAUGCCGCGUGGAGGAAGAAGGUUUUCGGAUUGUAAACUCCUGUCGUAAGGGAAGAGAAAGGACUGUACCUUACAAGAAAGCUCCGGCUAACUACGUG
rnacentral:rRNA from 1 species